GACGUAGGGCGCGAGCGUUGUCCGGAUUUAUUGGGCGUAAAGAGCUCGUAGGCGGUUUGUCGCGUCUGCCGUGAAAGUCCGGGGCUCAACUCCGGAUCUGCGGUGGGUACGGGCAGACUAGAGUGAUGUAAGGGAGACUGGAAUUCCUGGUGUAGCGGUGAAAUGCGCAGAUAUCAGGAGGAACACCGAUGGCGAAGGCAGGGUCUCUGGGCAUUAACUGACGCUGAGGAGCGAAAGCAUGGGGAGCGAACAGGA
rnacentral:rRNA from 1 species